CGGAUAGGCUCGCGGGACAUUAGCUUGAUGGCGGGGCAACGGCCCACCAUGGCGACGAUGUCUAGGGGUUCUGAGAGGAAGACCCCCCACACUGGAACUGAGACACGGCCCAGACUCCUACGGGAGGCAGCAGUGAGGAAUAUUGGUCAAUGGGCGGAAGCCUGAACCAGCCAUGCCGCGUGAAGGACUAAGGCCCUAUGGGUCGUAAACUUCUUUAGACGCAGAGCAAUAAGGGCCUCGCGAGGUCCGAUGAGAGUAUGCGUAGAAUAAGCAUCGGCUAACUCCGUGCCAGCAGCCGCGGUAAUACGGGGGAUGCGAGCGUUAUCCGGAUUUAUUGGGUUUAAAGGGUGCGUAGGCGGCGAAUUAAGUCAGCGGUGAAAGACCGGGGCUCAACCCUGGAAGUGCCGUUGAUACUGAUUGGCUAGAAUACCCUUGCCGUGGGAGGAAUGAGUGGUGUAGCGGUGAAAUGCAUAGAUAUCACUCAGAACACCGAUUGCGAAGGCAUCUCACGAAGGGGCGAUUGACGCUGAGGCACGAAAGCGUGGGGAUCGAACAGGAUUAGAUACCCUGGUAGUCCACGCAGUAAACGAUGAUGGCUAACUGUCGGGCCUAAGGGUUCGGCGGCCAAGCGAAAGCGAUAAGCCAUCCACCUGGGGAGUA
rnacentral:rRNA from 1 species